CGUCAACACGUCUCUCACACACUCAUGCGUUCUUCUCUCCAACAAACUCAAGUUCUAAAGGACACAACUAUUACGAAAGUGUAAUGUCACGCUGCUGUCAAAUGAUGUCUAGCCUCUCAAAAAGAUGCAUGAUGUGAAUGCAGUGCAGCCACAAGAUGCAAGGAUACCUUCUCCAUUAACAGUCAUGUCUCUGUCAGAUGAAGUCUGCCUCUCUAACAGUAGAUGCAGGAUGUCAAUGCAGCCCAGCCUCAAGAUUCAAGGAUACCUUCACCAUCAACAAAUACAGCGAGGGUUUUCAUCUCCACGGCCAGAGAUCUACUCAUCAACCAAGUACGUACAUGUCUGAGACCAACAGUUGAUGAGCUUCCUAACAGUGUACAACGAGUCUGGUCACUGAACUGCUCUCUCCUUUAUAAAAGGCUGGCUACAGAUGAAGUCUACCCCAAAAGAAGAUGCAUGAUGGGAAUACAGCCUAGUUUAGGAUUCAACGAUGUCUUCAGGCUUGCUGCUGACCCACCAUUGUCAGAUGAAGUCUACCUCUGCAGAAGUCGGUGCAUGCUGCUCAUCAUCAAGAUUCAAGGAUGUCUUCAUCAACAGGCUAGCUACAGACAUGCCAUUGUCAGAUGAAGUCUAUCUCUCCAGAACUAGAUGUUUGAUGUUCAUGCUGCCCAUGUGUCAGAUAAGACAUUGUCUUCUCCAGCAACAGUUUCAGACAGAUGCCAUUUUUCAGUGGACGAGUCUUCAUGUACCUCUUCAAAAGUAGAAGCAUGAUGCUCAUGCUGCCAGUGCCAAGUACAACGAUGUCUUCCCCAUCUACAGCGACGGUUGUCAUCUCAACAAAGAUCUACGUAUCAACCAAGAAUAUGUCCAAAGUUGAUGAGCUUCCUAACAAUGUACGAGUCUGAUAAAUGAACUGCUCUCUCCUUGAUAAAAGCUACAGACAGAUGCCAUUUGUCAGAUGGAACCUAUCUCUUCAGAAGUAGAUGCAUGAUGCGUAUUCUGCCAAGUGUCAAAGUACAGCAAGGUUUUCCCCAUCAACAGAUGGUGUCUACCUAUCACAUAUUUCCGAGACCUGCAACUGCGUAUAGUCAGCCCACUGUCUACACAUCACCAGUUAAGAUGUGUGAGGGUUACGCAAGAGGAAGGUAAAAUACCUGUGGUUGUUUUACACUAACAUCAAAGGGUGGUCUGUUUUUGCAGCACUCAUACCAACAGAAUAUCUCGUCACAUGCCACAACAUUUUUGGGGAUGAAAUGCUGGCACCAGCCUAACCCGAAAUGAGAGGUCUGUCCCUACAGAUUGAGAACAGAUUUAAAAGAUAGGAAACAUGUUUUUGAUUAACAAAACCCCUUUAACUGUACAUAAAUACAAUUUUAAAUAAUUAACAAGUUUUUUAGUACAAACCAUGAUAUUUCUUCUUGAGUUAAACCAUAAACUAGGAAUGAAAUUAUUUUGCAUCGUAUGAUGAUAAGUAAAAGAUCUGAAAUGUGCUGUACACCAUGCCUGACCUAAAACAAAUUUACAAAAUUUAGUUCAGGCAAAUCAGAUCCAAUUUGUUUAAGGUACAAUUUGGCUAAAUUGAUUCAAAAAAUUUGAAUGUUGCAUAAAUCAAGUCAUUGAUGGAUCACCAUAUUUUGAUGACAAGGGCAAAUAAACACCCCUAGUUAACGCAAGUUCAUUUAGUAAUAAUAAAAAAUAAUAAUACAUAUAAUAAUAGUGGCAGUUUAUAAUGAGCCAUGUCUGUCUAAAAGACACUCCUGGCGCAGGAGAGAUGCAGAAGUAAGAUUGCAAUGAGUUACAUAGUUAAGCAUAAAUAGAAGUUUUUGACUUCCUUUUUUGUGUUCUGUUACAUCUUAAGACACCUCAAUGUUUCCAUUUCACAGCAUAAAAAAGCUGAUACCCUAAAACUUAGUGUGUAGCAAAUAAUUCUCAUUACAAUCUUGAAAGCUUCAGACAUUGAGAGAAAAACUAAUUGUAUUGAAACUUCAAUGUUUUCAAGGCACUUUAAAUAAUGAAGGAAUGAUAAAUGAGCAACUAGCUUGUUGAUUUCAUUUGUAAAAUUGUAGACAUGUUAUUUAAUGAUGUCAGGUACAUUCCUGAUGUAAUCUUACAUUCGAGUCAAUGUUCUUGUAAAAAGUAAGUGUACCAUUUGCAAGCAAGCACACAAUGUGUGUAUUUUGAACUCACAAAGUUUGAGAAAAAUGUACUAUUUCUUGGGGUGGAAUACUUCUCGAGAGAGUGGCUUUAAGAUUUCAGAAAAAUAGUGGGUUUUGUAUAGACUUUUGUUACCAGGAGGAAAAAACCUUAUCUUAAAAUUAGAUUUCUUGCAAGGUACACUUAUUUUACUCCACAACUUAAAGCUUUACAAAAUUGUUAAGUAAACUCAUAGGUCAAUAAUUAUAAGUAGCCAUAGUCUUUGCUCUUAAUGUUGUUGACUUAAAGACACUGGACACUCGUGGUAAUUACUCAACAUAAUUGUUAGAAUAAAAACUUACUUGGUUACGAGCA